GGGAGAGUUCCCGAGUGGCCAAAGGGGACAGACUGUAAAUCUGCUGGCAACGCCUUCGGUGGUUCGAAUCCACCCUCUCCCACCA
rnacentral:tRNA from 2 species